ACCAAUAGUUCAUCGAGAUUUUACCCAUCAAUCAUUUUGUUGCUUUGAUGUGGAGAGUGUUUUUAUUUUGUACAUGUAAGCAUUAUAUAUAUAGUCCCAUGUUGCAGAGUUGUUGUAUUUUGUAGUCGGAUUUCAUUCAAUGGUGCUCCUAUUGCUCUUAUCUACCCAAAAUACAUUUUUUUCAUCUGUCCUUGUUUUGAAUGUGGAAAACUCUUUUUAAGACGUUGCUCUAUUUAUUGAAUACAUACCAUGUACAAUGUCCAAGUUUUAACAUUAUUUCUGGGACAUUUUUUGUGGCUUUCUUCAUGUUAACAUCUUGGUAGUUUUAUUGAUAUAGAUUAAUUUGCAAUGAAAUCUUUAUACUCAUUGGAUAGGAUUAAAUUCCUGUCAUUAAAUAAAUGAUUCUAGCAGAU
rnacentral:misc_RNA from 1 species